UCAUGGCUCAGGACGAACGCUGGCGGCGUGCCUAAUACAUGCAAGUUGAACGAUGAUUUCUGGUACUUGUAUCAGAAUGAAGAGUAGCGAACGGGUGAGUAACGCGUGGGUAACCUACCUCUUAGCGGGGGACAACUAUUGGAAACGAUAGCUAAUACCGCAUAACAAUAUUAAACACAUGUUUAACAUUUGAAAGUACCAAUUGGUACACUAGGAGAUGGACCCGCGUUGUAUUAGCUAGUUGGUAGUGUAAUGGACUACCAAGGCGAUGAUACAUAGCCGACCUGAGAGGGUGAUCGGCCACAUUGGGACUGAGACACGGCCCAAACUCCUACGGGAGGCAGCAGUAGGGAAUCUUCGGCAAUGGACGAAAGUCUGACCGAGCAACGCCGCGUGAGUGAAGAAGGUUUUCGGAUCGUAAAACUCUGUUGUUAGAGAAGAACGUUGUGUAGAGUGGAAAAUUACACAAGUGACGGUAUCUAACCAGAAAGGGACGGCUAACUACGUGCCAGCAGCCGCGGUAAUACGUAGGUCCCGAGCGUUGUCCGGAUUUAUUGGGCGUAAAGCGAGCGCAGGUGGUUUAAUAAGUCUGAUGUAAAAGGCAGUGGCUCAACCAUUGUGUGCAUUGGAAACUGUUAGACUUGAGUGCAGUAGAGGAGAGUGGAAUUCCAUGUGUAGCGGUGAAAUGCGUAGAUAUAUGGAGGAACACCGGUGGCGAAAGCGGCU
rnacentral:rRNA from 1 species